GACGAACGCUGGCGGCGUGCUUAACACAUGCAAGUCGAACGGAAAGGCCCUGCUUUUGUGGGGUGCUCGAGUGGCGAACGGGUGAGUAACACGUGAGUAACCUGCCCUUGACUUUGGGAUAACUUCAGGAAACUGGGGCUAAUACCGGAUAGGAGCUCCUGCUGCAUGGUGGGGGUUGGAAAGUUUCGGCGGUUGGGGAUGGACUCGCGGCUUAUCAGCUUGUUGGUGGGGUAGUGGCUUACCAAGGCUUUGACGGGUAGCCGGCCUGAGAGGGUGACCGGCCACAUUGGGACUGAGAUACGGCCCAGACUCCUACGGGAGGCAGCAGUGGGAAAUAUUGCACAAUGGGCGGAAGCCUGAUGCAGCAACGCCGCGUGCGGGAUGACGGCCUUCGGGUGGUAAACCGCUUUCGCCUGUGACGAAGCGUGAGUGACGGGAAUGGGGAAAGAAGCACCGGCUAACUACGU
rnacentral:rRNA from 1 species